rnacentral:rRNA from 1 species
AACGAACGCUGGCGGCAUGCCUAACACAUGCAAGUCGAACGAGACCUUCGGGUCUAGUGGCGCACGGGUGCGUAACGCGUGGGAACCUGCCCUUAGGUUCGGAAUAACUCCCCGAAAGGGGUGCUAAUACCGGAUAAUGUCUUCGGACCAAAGAUUUAUCGCCUUUGGAUGGGCCCGCGUUGGAUUAGCUAGUUGGUAGGGUAAAAGCCUACCAAGGCGACGAUCCAUAGCUGGUCUGAGAGGAUGAUCAGCCACACUGGGACUGAGACACGGCCCAGACUCCUACGGGAGGCAGCAGUGGGGAAUAUUGCACAAUGGGCGAAAGCCUGAUCCAGCAAUGCCGCGUGAGUGAUGAAGGCCUUAGGGUUGUAAAGCUCUUUUAGCCGGGAUGAUAAUGACAGUACCGGGAGAAUAAGCUCCGGCUAACUCCGUG